ensembl:lncRNA
UAUGACACUUUUGCAGCAUACUCCAAAAACUAAUGCUAUUUUAUUUUAUUUUUUUCUGCAGGAAUGGUUCAGGCGGGGUACAAUACUCUGAACAACACAACCAUAGCCAUUUACUCACUAGCCUGUCUACCUGCAUUCAUUUUAAAGCAAUAACUCGUGGAUGAGCAACACCACUCACACUGAUGGCUCCACUUAUGCAGUGACCAAAACAGCAGCACAUCCCCACAGUCAGAUCACGAAUCGCCGUGACUUCAUCUCCACGUUAUGCAGUUCAAUCACGGGUGACUACAUGGCAUUUGCUGCCUAGGUGAUUGCCUAGAAAAGAAUCUUUCCAGAACUGAAGCAAAGAUGACAUUUGAAGAGGUGCAUGCAAGCUGCUUCCGUGGCCCCCGGAGAGAGGGACGUUACGUGGAGGGUGAGGCAUCCCAGAAUAUGAGGAUAAAUUGCAGGUAAUCCUGCAGGACUGGCGCCCUGGUAAUCAACACUCUUCCAACUGGAAACAUUUUACAAUUCUUCAUCUUAAUUUAACUUCUCUUUUUUUCUACUGUUCCUUUACCUGGCAAUUCUUAGCAGCGGGUGCAAUCAUUUGCACUGGCGUUUGAAAGGAGAGGCUGUAGAAAUGCGAAAUGGAGAGCUUUUAAAAGGGGGGGAAGGGGGCGAUAAGCAAAUCAAAUUAAUGACAAUGAGUGUUUGUGGAGAGAAGGCAGGCAGAGAGCUUGUUUGAGCCCAUCGUGCGUGCCAUGUUAAACACUUCACUCGCCGUGGAGGGGCUAAUCCAGUCUCCGACAGCUAGCUGAUUAUACGAAUAAACUACACAUGCUCGCCGCGGAGAGAAAGGAG